rnacentral:lncRNA from 1 species
CUCUAAUCGAUUUGACUCUCCAAGAGAUGGCUGGGUUUUUCAAAGCAGAGAAAUGAUGACCUGCAGUCUUAAAGAGCUGUUGAUUGCACCUGGGGCUCCCGUGGCCGGCGCCCAUCGAGCAGCCCAUCCUGGCUGUUCCCUUGUUCAGCUGAUUUUCUUUUUUAUCUUGACAUUUGCUAACCGCUUGGUUUUUAUUUUCCGGGAAGAGAGGAUUAUUGGCAACUGGCACCACCCCCAUGUCUGGAGGAGGGACGUUUCUAGGAUGACCCCCAGAGUGGAGAAAUAGCCGAGCUCAUGAGGCAACCCACACAGGCAGGCUGGAGAGGAGUGGCAAGAAGCUCACCUUCGGACAGUAGUGAGCAGAGCAACAGAGGCCCCCAGAGACUUCGCACAACGGAAAAGAGAUCAACUCCCGCAUUUGCAGGGGACGUGAAAGUGCAAUACUGUGAGGAACAAAAGGAAGCCUCAUCUCUGGAAGCCGGGAGGAAAAACAGUCGGUGUAGACAGCAGCGGCAGGGACCAGAGCUGACCAGAAGGCUGGGUCCCAGCAACAAUUAGAGACAGGCAGCAGCUGAGGCCCCUUCU